UACGUAGGGGGCUAGCGUUGUCCGGAAUCAUUGGGCGUAAAGCGCGUGUAGGCGGUCCGGUAAGUCCGCUGUGAAAGUCGAGGGCUCAACCCUCGAAUGCCAGUGGAUACUGUCGGGCUUGAGUACGGGAGAGGCGAGUGGAAUUCCUGGUGUAGCGGUGAAAUGCGCAGAUAUCAGGAGGAACACCGAUUGCGAAGGCAGCUCGCUGGAACGUUACUGACGCUGAGACGCGAAAGCGUGGGGAGCAAACAGG
rnacentral:rRNA from 1 species